CAGCUUCGGCCAUGUAGCUCUGGCUUUAGAGUCCAGAACAGAAGGCACUGCUGGGGCAUUUGAUGUUGGUUAACUGGAGCUAAGAAGUUAACAGUGUUAAUAGGAAACCAGCAUCAGGGGAUUUAAAAUCUUCUGGGGAGUGUUUUCUGAGAACACAAAGAAGCUAUGUUCCAGAGAUAGGGCAUACUCCAUUGCUGAGGGAAGUCAUGGUGGCAACUCAAGCAGGACAGGAACUUGAAAGCAGGAACUAAAGCAGAAGCCUUGUAGAUUUCCAAGAUGCAAGUCUUAAUCUGGUGACCUGAGUGACAAAGAGAAAAUGGGCAACUUAGGUACCACCACUACAGAAGCUUUCAGGAUUCCUGUGCUGCCUGCAAUAAGAAACAGAGGAUAACUUCUGGCCUCUUUGAAGAAAAUGUCAAUGUGAUUGGUGCAUGAAGCUUUGUUAAUAGUAACAGCCAAUACACACUGGGUGUAUGAA